rnacentral:rRNA from 1 species
UACGUAGGGGGCUAGCGUUGCUCGGAAUGACUGGGCGUAAAGGGCGCGUAGGCGGAUUGUCCAGUCAGGCGUGAAAUUCCCGGGCUCAACCUGGGGGCUGCGCUUGAGACGUGCGAUCUUGAGUGGGGAAGAGGGUCGUGGAAUUCCCAGUGUAGAGGUGAAAUUCGUAGAUAUUGGGAAGAACACCGGUGGCGAAGGCGGCGACCUGGUCCUUGACUGACGCUGAGGCGCGAAAGCGUGGGGAGCAAACAGG